CGUCGCGUUGGCACGGUCACGACGCGCUCCUCCGGCGCCGCUACGGUCCUUCUGACGACCCCGCCCGCCCCUCCCGCUCGGCACGACCGCUGCAUCCACCUCCGCCUCCCGCCGGUGCCGCUCGCGCUCGGCCCGUCCAUCAUCCUGUCCUGGCCCGGCGAGAGGAAGACCCUGUCCUCCGAGUGGGCAGGAGCGUAUUUGAGGGACCGAGCCGGCGACGCGGGGAAGCGGGAUGGCUGGAUUUGGGGCGGUGGCACCAUCGGCGGUGAGAUUUCUCGAGAGAGGGAUGGGAUUGGGAGCG
rnacentral:lncRNA from 1 species